CUGCGCGGAAGAUGUAACGGGGCUCAAACUAUGCACCGAAGCUGCGGCAGCAAAAAUUAUAUUUUUGCUGGGUAGGGGAGCGUUCUGUAAGCCAACGAAGAUAUAUUGUAAAAUAUAUUGGAGGUAUCAGAAGUGCGAAUGCUGACAUGAGUAACGAUAAAGCAGGUGAAAAACCUGCUCGCCGAAAAACCAAGGUUUCCUGUCCAACGUUAAUCGGGGCAGGGUAAGCCGACCCCUAAGGCGAGGCUGAAAAGCGUAGUCGAUGGACAACAGGUUAAUAUUCCUGUGCUUAAUAUUACUGCGAAGUGGGGACGAAGAAGGUUAAGUUAUCCAGGUGACGGUUAUCCUGGUUUAAAUGUGUAGGUAUGAUAAUUAGGCAAAUCCGAUUAUCUUUAAUCUGAGGCAUGAUGACGAAUCAUUAAGGUGAUGAAGUAACUGACACCACGCUUCCAAGAAAAGCCUCUAAGCAUCAGGUAAAAUUAAAUCGUACCCCAAACCGACACAGGUGGUUAGGUAGAGAAUACUAAGGCGCUUGAGAGAACCCAGGUGAAGGAACUAGGCAAAAUAGUGCCGUAACUUCGGGAGAAGGCACGCUAAUGUUAAGUGAAAGGAUUUACUCCUAUAGCUGAAGUUAGUCGAAGAUACCAGCUGGCUGCAACUGUUUAUUAAAAACACAGCACUGUGCAAACACGAAAGUGGAAGUAUACGGUGUGACGCCUGCCCGGUGCCGGAAGGUUAAUUGAUGGGGUUAGCGGCAACGCGAAGCUCUUGAUCGAAGCCCCGGUAAACGGCGGCCGUAACAAUAACGGUCCUAAGGUAGCGAAAUUNUAAGUUCCGACCUGCACGAAUGGCGUAACGAUGGCGGCGCUGUCUCCACCCGAGACUCAGUGAAAUUGAACUCGCUGUGAAGAUGCAGUGUACCCGCGGCAAGACGGAAAGACCCCGUGAACCUUUACUAUAGCUUGACACUGAACAUUGAGCCUUGAUGUGUAGGAUAGGUGGGAGGCUUUGAAGCGUGGACGCCAGUCUGCGUGGAGCCGACCUUGAAAUACCACCCUUUAAUGGCUGGUGUUCUAACGUAGACCCGUAAUCCGGGUUGCGGACAGUGUCUGGUGGGUAGUUUGACUGGGG
rnacentral:rRNA from 1 species